rnacentral:tRNA from 1 species
GCCCAGCUGGUGCAGUCGGUGGAGCGUGAGACUCUUGAUCUCAGGGUGGUGAGUUCAAGCCCCACGCUGGGUG